CAGCGCCACGAGUGGCAGCCGUGUAUUUGGCCUAAAGCGUCCGUAGCUGGUUGUAUAAAUCUUUUGUGAAAUUGUCAGGCUUAACCUGGCAGAGUGCAGAGGACACUGCUAAUCUUGAGACCGGGAGGAGUUAGAGGUAUUUAAGGGGUAGCGGUAAAAUGCGAUAAUCCCUUGAGGACCACCUGUGGCGAAGGCGUCUAACUAGAACGGAUCUGACGGUGAGGAACGAAGCCCUGGGGCGCAAACCGGAUUAGAUACCCGAGUAGUCC
rnacentral:rRNA from 1 species